UAGGUAGGUGGUUACGUAUGUCUGAGGUGAAAUCCCUGAGCUUAACUCAGGAAGUGCCUUGGAAACGGCGUAACUAGAGUGCUAGAGAGGUUCGUGGAAUUCCCAGUGUAGCGGUGAAAUGCGUAGAGAUUGGGAGGAACACCAGAGGCGAAGGCGGCGAACUGGAUAGCAACUGACACUGAACUACGAAAGCGUGGGUAGCAAACA
rnacentral:rRNA from 1 species